CUUGGUCACUGAGCCCUGCGGGGGUGCUUCAGGGCAGGAAGGGGCAGCUGAAAAUGUUUAAGAGGGCAGUAAAGGUCCAAAAUGGAUUAGGUUAAACAUGAAGAGUGUAAGUAGAAGGCUGUGAAACCCACCUAAAGGAUGGACUACUGCCUAGUGCCCUAAGCUGUUUUUAGUCUUCCAAAUACUCACUACGGCCACAGUAGGGCUGGCCAGGAACAAACUCAAUGGCAUUCACCCAGUCUUCUGAACCUGCUCCUACACUUGCAAAGUUUGAAUUUCGUGAGUCGGCUUCGCCCGUAUUCAUUUCAACAACUGGUCCAACUACCGAUGAGAGACUUGAGGAAGCAGCAAGGGAUGAUUUUGCAGUUAGAUCUGCCACAGUCACUUCUUCCUGUUUCAGUGGCUUGCUAUGUUCAUAUCUAAAAGAAAAAUUUAAAGUCAGCAGUCACUGUCUCACCAGCAGCCCCAAAUGGGCACACUCUCCAGGACAUCUCUGGACUCAUCUCCUCUUGACAUUUCCUCUCUCCCUGGACAGAGUUUACAAGGAUCCUCAACAGACUGGCUAGGCAAAGAACCCAGCUCCCCUACAAUUAAUCGGCCUAGAACACCUGCAGAGACCAGCCCAUGAAGAAAUGCUUUUAUAUUUAGUAUGAUAGGGCUCUAGACACCCCCCCCCUUCAUACUGUGACUAAAAAGGAUAAAUAAACCUGGGGGGGGAGGGGUAUUUUU